rnacentral:rRNA from 1 species
UACGUAGGGACCGCGCGUUGUCCGGAAUCAUUGGGCGUAAAGAGCGUGUAGGCGGCCACUUAAGUCCUGCGUGAAAUCUUGCGGCUCAACCGCAAGCGGUCGUGGGAAACUGGGUGGCUAGAGUGCGGGAGAGGAGAGUGGAAUUCCUGGUGUAGCGGUGGAAUGCGCAGAUAUCAGGAAGAACACCCGUGGCGAAGGCGGCUCUCUGGAACGCAACUGACGCUGAGACGCGAAAGCGUGGGGAGCAAACAGG